rnacentral:rRNA from 1 species
AUGAUCGCCUUCCGUGAUGCUUUGGAACUGUGUGGUCUAUGUGAUCUUGGCUUCUCAGAGAUUCCCUAUACUUUUGAUAAUCGGCGGGCUGGAAGUGCCAACGUCAAAGUCCGGCUUGACCGGGCUGUGGCAAAUAAUACUUGGCGGGAUCUCUUCACAGAUGCUAACAUCAAGCACCUCGUUGCGCCGAGCUCGGAUCAUAUUCCGAUCCUCCUGAAGUGCUCCACGGAACCGGACCGGCCUGCUGUGGUUGGCUGAAACCGGCAGUAUGAAGUAAUGUGGGAGCGGGACGCCGCCCUCCCGGAAGUGAUAAAAAAUGCAUGGGCUGAGAUCGGUGCACUAGGUGACCUGGGCGACGUGGCUGCUAGUCUUGGAAAGGUCAUGCAUACGCUCCAUGGAUGGAGUAAGAGAAAGUUUGGUAAUGUAAUAAAGGAAAUUAACAAAUCUCGCUCUCUCUUGGAGGAAUUAAUGCUUAUGAACGCAGAUCAGCGGGAGAUACGUGAAGCAAAUGAUCGUUUGAACGAGCUCCUCUAUAGGGAGGAGAUGCUCUGGAUGCAGCGUUCUAGAGUCGCGUGGUUACGUGACGGCGACCGCAACACAGGAUUCUUCCACCGUCAGGCUGUUUGGCGGGCACGGAAGAACAGGAUAAAAGCUCUUGUGGAUGAUGAUGGAGUGGUGCAAAAGGACCAUGCAACAAUGGCGUCUAUGGUGAAUGAUUACUUCAGUACUCUUUUCACGGCUGAUACAUCGUUGCAAGCUGACCCUGUUACUAGGCUUAUACAGGGACGUGUUACUGCUAAUAUGAAUGAUGGACUGUGGGACGCGGAGUAA